rnacentral:rRNA from 1 species
CCUACGGGUGGCUGCAGUGGGGAAUAUUGCACAAUGGGCGCAAGCCUGAUGCAGCCAUGCCGCGUGUGUGAAGAAGGCCUUCGGGUUGUAAAGCACUUUCAGCGGGGAGGAAGGCGGUGAGGUUAAUAACCUCAUCGAUUGACGUUACCCGCAGACGAAGCACCGGCUAACUCCGUGCCAGCAGCCGCGGUAAUACGGAGGGUGCAAGCGUUAAUCGGAAUUACUGGGCGUAAAGCGCACACAGGCGGUCUGUCAAGUCGGAUGUGAAAUCCCCGGGCUCAACCUGGGAACUGCAUUCGAAACUGGCAGGCUAGAGUCUUGUAGAGGGGGGUAGAAUUCCAGGUGUAGCGGUGAAAUGCGUAGAGAUCUGGAGGAAUACCGGUGGCGAAGGCGGCCCCCUGGACAAAGACUGACGCUCAGGUGCGAAAGCGUGGGGAGCAAACAGGAUUAGAUACCCCGGUAGUC